GAUAAAUGAUAUCAUAUAAUAAUUUGUCUUUCUUUGGCUUACUUCACUUACUGUGAUCAUCUCUAGGUCCAUCCGUUGAUGUUGCUGCACGUGGCAUUUUUUCAUUAUUCUUAUGGCUGAGUAAAUACUCCGCUGUCUGUAUCUCUGUGUAUGUACACAUACCCCCCACGUCCUUAUGCGUUCAUCCGUCAAGGGAUAGGUCGCUUCCAUGUCUUGAUUCCGUGCUCUGGUUGCACAGGUCGCUUCCAUGUCCUGAUUCCGUGCUCUGGUUGCACAGGUCGCUUCCAUGUCCUGAUUCCGUGUUCUGGUUGCACAGGUCGCUUCCAUGUCCUGAUUCCGUGCUCUGGUUGCACAGGUCGCUUCCAUGUCCUGAUUCCGUGCUCUGGUUGCACAGGUCGCUUCCAUGUCCUGAUUCCGUGUUCUGGUUGCACAGGUCGCUUCCAUGUCCUGAUUCCGUGUUCUGGUUGCACAGGUCGC
ensembl:lncRNA